GCUUCUCUUUAUCUUU
rnacentral:sRNA from 1 species